CAAGCAAUUCUCCUGCCUCGGCCUCCCGAGUAGCUGGGACUACAGGCGCUCCCCACUACGCCCAGACUAAUUUUGGUAUUUUUAGUAGAGACAGGGUUUCACUGUGUUGGCCAGGCUGGUCUCGAACUCCUGACCUCAGGUGAUCCGCCCGUCGCGGCCUCCGGGAUUACAGGCGUGAGCCACCGCGCCCGGCCUCCGCGCUCCAUUCCUGUGGGUCCAGUUUCCACCUCCUCGAAACCCAGCAGGGUCCUCCCCAGCCCUGAAGGGCUAGACGAGCCCGGAGGCGGACUGCGGUGGCGUGGCGUGGCGUGGGCGGAGCUUGGAGCCGGAGGCGGGGUGUGGGCGGGGCUGAGAGGCGGGGUGCGGCCUCGGCGUGGGCGGGGCCUGUGUGUGGCGGGCGCGCUGCGGAAACAAGCCUGCAGUCCCGCGGGCCUGGUCCCAGGCUGCUUGGGUUGUGCGGGUACCUGGUCCCCCAGGGCGGAGCCGCAGCGCUCCUGGUCUGCGGGACGUGGCCCUGUAGCUGGAACCUGGCGCAACUCAGAGAGCUGUCCUCGCAGAGGCGCUGGUCCCAGACCUGCGGCUCCUACCCCGGCCGGCGCUGGCUGGAGGGACACCUGGCCUGGGUGGAGCCCACUCCUCAGCACCCACCUCACUUCUGGCAGUAUUCUGCAGACCCCAGCCCUGUGCCUGUGCUCCUGCACAGCUGGAGAUAAGGAGUGGGCCCUGGAAGAUGCUCAGUCAGGCCCUGCUCCAGAUUUUAGUUUCGCGGAUAAGCACCACUAUGUGUCUCUGCUCUUUUUGUUUUGCUGUAAAGACACAUUGAUAGGUUAAAAUUGUUGUUUGUGCACAACACGGAUCAUGUAGCGUCUUCACAUUAACCCCUAGUUACACUCUCUAAGUUGUCUAUUUUCUUCCCCCAAUAUUUUUAUUGUUAUAAAAAUACACCGAAUAUAAAAACCUUAACCAGGCCAGCCGCAGUGGUUCACACCUGUAAUCCCAGCACUUUGGGAGGCCAAGACGGGUGGAUCACUUGAGGUCAGGAGUUUGAGACCAGCCUAACCAACAUGGCGAAACCCCGUCUCUACUAAAAAUACAAAAGUUAGCGGCGCAUAGUGGCGCCUG
rnacentral:lncRNA from 1 species